GUGGGGAAUUUUGGACAAUGGGCGCAAGCCUGAUCCAGCAAUGCCGCGUGCAGGAAGAAGGCCUUCGGGUUGUAAACUGCUUUUGUACGGAACGAAACGGUCCGGGUUAAUACCCUGGGCUAAUGACGGUACCGUAAGAAUAAGCACCGGCUAACUACGUGCCAGCAGCCGCGGUAAUACGUAGGGUGCAAGCGUUAAUCGGAAUUACUGGGCGUAAAGCGUGCGCAGGCGGUUUUGUAAGACAGGCGUGAAAUCCCCGGGCUCAACCUGGGAAUUGCGAUUGUGACUGCAAGGCUGGAGUGCGGCAGAGGGGGAUGGAAUUCCGCGUGUAGCAGUGAAAUGCGUAGAUAUGCGGAGGAACACCGAUGGCGAAGGCAAUCCCCUGGGCCUGCACUGACGCUCAUGCACGAAAGCGUGGGGAGCAAACAGGAUUAGAAACCCGGGUAGUCC
rnacentral:rRNA from 1 species